rnacentral:siRNA from 1 species
UUAUGUGGUGAGUUAAGGUU